GUGUGGUAGGGGCAGAGGGAAUUCCCGGUGUAUCGGUGAAAUGCGUAUAUAUCGGGAAGAACACCAGUGGCGAAGGCGCUCUGCUGGGCCAUAACUGACGCUCAUGGACGAAAGCCAGGGAGCGAAAUGGAUUAGAUACCCCUGUAGUCCUGGCCGUAAACGAUGAACACUAGGUGUCGGGGGAAUCGACCCCCUCGGUGUCGCAGCCAACGCAUUAAGUGUUCCGCCUGGGGAGUACGCACACAAGUGUGAAACUCAAAGGAAUUGACGGGGGCCCGCACAAGCGGUGGAGUAUGUGGUUUAAUUCGAUGCAACGCGAAGAACCUUACCAGGGUUUGACAUCCUGCGAAUCUCUUGGAAACGAGAGAGUGCCUUCGGGAGCGCAGUGACAGGUGGUGCAUGGCUGUCGUCAGCUCGUGUCGUGAGAUGUUGGGUUAAGUCCCGCAACGAGCGCAACCCACGUCGUUAGUUGCCAGCAUUUAGUUGGGCACUCUAGCGCGACCGCCGGUGAUAAACGGGAGGAAGGUGUGGAUGACGUCAAGUCAUCAUGCUCCUUACAUCCUGGGCUACACACGUACUACGAUGCUACGGACAAAGGGCAGCAAGCUCGUAAGAGUUAGCAAAUCCCAUAAACCGUGACUCAGUUCAGAUCGUAGGCUGCAACUCGCCUACGUGAAGGAGGAAUCGCUAGUAAUCGCAGGUCAGCAUACUGCGGUGAAUACGUUCCCGGGCCUUGUACACACCGCCCGUCACACCAUGGAAGUUGACCACGCCCGAAGCCGUUACUCCAACCCUUGUGGAGGAGGACGUCGAAGGUGGGGCUGAUGACUGGGGUGAAGUCGUAACAAGGUAGCCGUACCGGAAGGUGCGGCUGGAUCACCUCCUAA
rnacentral:rRNA from 1 species